rnacentral:rRNA from 1 species
UACAGAGGUGGCAAGCGUUGUUCGGAAUUACUGGGCGUAAAGGGCGCGUAGGCGGCCUUGUAAGUCCUGUGUGAAAUCCCCCGGCUCAACUGGGGAGCUGCACAGGAGACUGCUUGGCUUGAGUUCGGGAGAGGGAAGCGGAAUUCCGGGUGUAGCGGUGAAAUGCGUAGAUAUCGGGAGGAACACCAGUGGCGAAGGCGGCUGCCUGGCCUGUUCUUGACGCUGAGGCGCGAAAGCUAGGGGAGCAAACGGG